CGGGUGAGUAACACGUAUCCAACCUGCCGUCUACUCUUGACAGCCUUCUGAAAGGAAGAUUAAUACAAGAUGGCAUCAUGAGUCCGCAUGUUCACAUGAUUAAAGGCAUUCCGGUAGACGAUGGGGAUGCGUUCCAUUAGAUAGUAGGCGGGGUAACGGCCCACCUAGUCUUCGAUGGAUAGGGGUUCUGAGAGGAAGGUCCCCCACAUUGGAACUGAGACACGGUCCAA
rnacentral:rRNA from 1 species